rnacentral:rRNA from 1 species
CGUGACGGAGCAUGCCGCGUGCAGGAUGAAGCCUUUCGGGGUGUAAACUGCUGUCAGGGGCUAGGAACUCAAUGACCAACCCCAAAGGAAGGGCCGGCUAACUUCGUGCCAGCAGCCGCGGUGAUACGAAGGGCCCGAGCGUUGCGCGGAAUCACUGGGCUUAAAGCGUACGUAGGCGGAAACACAGGCGUCCUGUGAAAGCCCUCGGCUCAACCGAGGAAUUGCUUGGCGAACCGUGUUUCUUGAGACAGGUAGGGGUUGUCGGAACGCUAGGUGGAGUGGUGAAAUGCGUUGAUAUCUAGCGGAACGCCAAAGGAGAAAUCAGGCAACUGGGCCUGUUCUGACGCUGAGGUACGAAAGCGUGGGGAGCGAACGGGAUUAGAUACCCCGGUAGUCCACGCCGUAAACGAUGUGCACUAGGUCGAGGGGGUUCUGACACCGCUCUUGGCCGAAGCGAAAGUGUUAAGUGCACCGCCUGGGGACUACGGUCGCAAGGCUAAAACUCAAAGGAAUUGACGGGGGCUCACACAAGCGGUGGAGCAUGUGGCUUAAUUCGAAGCAACGCGAAGAACCUUAUCCUGGAUUUGACAUGCACGGAUUAGCUGUUGGAAACUUCAGUGACACUCUUGAGUGGAACGUGCACAGGUGCUGCAUGGCUGUCGUCAGCUCGUGCUGUGAAGUGUCGGGUUAAGUCCCUUAACGAGCGAAACCCCUGCCGCUAGUUGCCAGCGAGUUAUGUCGGGGACUCUAGCGGGACUGCCGGCGUCAAGUCG